UACGGAGGGUGCAAGCGUUAUCCGGAUUCACUGGGUUUAAAGGGUGCGUAGGCGGGUUGGUAAGUCCGUGGUGAAAUCCCCAAGCUUAACUUGGGAACUGCCGUGGAUACUCUCAAUCUUGAAUAUCGUGGAGGUAAGCGGAAUAUGUCAUGUAGCGGUGAAAUGCUUAGAUAUGACAUAGAACACCAAUUGCGUAGGCAGCUUACUACACGAUCAUUGACGCUGAGGCACGAAAGCGUGGGGAGCAAACAGG
rnacentral:rRNA from 1 species